rnacentral:rRNA from 1 species
CAGUCGCCGCGGGAAUACGUAGGUGGCAAGCGUUGUCCGGAAUUAUUGGGCGUAAAGGGCUCGCAGGCGGUUUCUUAAGUCUGAUGUGAAAGCCCCCGGCUCAACCGGGGAGGGUCAUUGGAAACUGGGAAACUUGAGUGCAGAAGAGGAGAGCGGAAUUCCACGUGUAGCGGUGAAAUGCGUAGAGAUGUGGAGGAACACCAGUGGCGAAGGCGACUCUCUGGUCUGUAACUGACGCUGAGGAGCGAAAGCGUGGGGAGCGAACAGGAUUAGAUACCCGAGUAGUCCCUGUCUCUUAUAC